GGUUAAUACCCUUAUUAUUUGACGUUACCUACAGAAGAAGCACCGGCUAACUCUGUGCCAGCAGCCGCGGUAAUACAGAGGGUGCAAGCGUUAUUCGGAAUUACUGGGCGUAAAGCGCGCGUAGGCGGAUGAUUAAGUCAGUUGUGAAAGCCCUGGGCUCAACCUAGGAACUGCAUCUGAUACUGGUCAUCUAGAGUUUAAGAGAGGGAAGUGGAAUUCCAGGUGUAGCAGUGAAAUGCGUAGAUAUCUGGAGGAACAUCAGUGGCGAAGGCGACUUCCUGGCUUAAAACUGACNCUGAGGUGCGAAAGCGUGGGUAGCGAACGGGAUUAGAUACCCUGGUAGUCCACGCCGUAAACGAUGUCAACUAGUUGUUGG
rnacentral:rRNA from 1 species